AUGGCGGCGGAGACGGCGGAGAACGACUCCUCGCAGGAAACCCCGCCCCUCGCCGCCACCGCCGGUGUCGCCGGCGGCCCCAAUCCCUGCUGCGCCAAGCUAUGGAAGAAGUACCAGCAGAUUGAGAAGGGCCGGGCGGUGCUGCGGGAGGCGGUGAAGCUCCUGAACAGCGAGAUUGACAAGGUGCGGAAUGAGAAAUCAGCUCUGGCGGAAGUGUGCAAGGAGGAGCGUCUCCGAGCUGAUUCAGCAGAAGCAGCUAGGGAAACCGAGUCUGAUGCCAGAGAUAUAUUAGAGAAAGAGGUAAUUGAACUGAAGGCAGAGAACUCAGCCCUGCAUCAAAAACAAAAUUUCGGCAAAAACAGUGAUGAGCUCUUACGCAUCUCUGAGUUGGAGGAAGAAAAUAGAAGGCUCAAACAGGUUUUAGGAGAAGAAAAGUUGAAAAGUGAUUCUGAGAAGAAAAAGGUCGAAGAAGCAAAGAGCAAGGCUUUAGAAGCGCAAAAAUUAUUGAAGUCUGAAACACAUAAGUAUGAAGAGUACAAAAGGCUUGCUGAUACAGAAAGAAAAAUAGCCAAUGAUUUGAAGGCAUCAUGUGAAAAAUUGAGGACUGAAGUAAAUGAAACCAGGGCGCAGUUGUCUGCUCAGAUUCAGAAAACAGGGGAGGCACAUAAAAAGGCCGAAGCGGAGAAGCAGAAGGCUGCCAGAGAAAAGAAAUGUGCCGAUUCUGAAAAAAUGUUAGCAGAGAAGAACAAAAAACUAAUUGAAGUUGAGAGGAAAAAGGCAAUGGAAGAGAAGAGCCAUUCUAACCAUUUGCUUGCACAGUUACAGGAACAGAAGAAACUGAAUGAAAGCUUGCAAGUUAGCAUUGAGGCUCAAAGAAAGAAUGCUAUGUCUGAGAAAAACCGUGCAGACCACCUGUUACAGAAGUUGGAAGAGGAGAGAAAACGUAGUGAAUGUUUACAGAGGAAGUCUGAUGAUUUGAGUGCCACUAGGGAUAUGGUUUCUCUUGGCAAACAUGGAAUACAACAUAUUGGUGUAGCUACUGAAAGUGCUAACAUAAAACUUCUCAAAGAGAAGCUGAAGCGGAAGAAAGAUCAACUAAAGCAUGUGAAAAAUGAAUCAAAGUUAGAGAAAUCAUUGAUAAGAAAAGAGAUUGAGCUCCUAAAACAGGACUGGAUGAAGCCGCUGAAUCGGUUUAACAUGCUUGAUGACUAUCUUGCUGGUGGUGUUGAAGGUAUUCAUGCAAUGAAAAAGCUGAAGCGUCAACAGGAGGUACAUGACUUGGAACAUACUCUUCGUCCUCGUAAUCCAGUUGCUGCCCCAUAUUUCGGGUUACAAGCUGGGAUUAUUCCUUCUACUUCUGCCCCAAGAGAAUGCACUUCAUAUCAGUUGCCUAGAGAAAGCUGCACAAGACCAAUCUCAGGUACUAGUUCUGAAUUAGAGCCUCCUAUUGGUAGUGCUCUCAGAACGGAGUCCAAAAAUCACCACAGAUCUUCACGUCCCACAUCCAUAUCUGAUAAAAAGUUCAUGGGCUCCCAGGGUAAGGAAAGCCUAUUUGUCUCAUCAACAGGUACCAGAAAGAACCAGAACUUGACAGGUUCAGAGUUACCCCCUAAAGACUGCAAUACAAGGAAACAAGAUAGAGCGCUGCUGGAGAUUUCUGGUCAUUCAUCUCGACGGAAGGCAUUGAAGUCAUCACUGCCUGGUGGUACAGAAGUUGCAGAUCAAAUGCCUAAUGGUGGUAGGAAGAGAAAAAGGACAAAAAAUUCUGUAGAAUCACUUCCCCAUGAUGCCACUGCAAAUAAUUAUUUGGCAUUCGGUGAUGAUCGUUCAUGUCCGCAGGAACAAAAUAUCAUCAUCCCAUGUAUAAACAAAGAGGGCUCGCAAAAUCGUAGCAGGAAAUGUCAUGCGGCCGUUGAUAAAUCCUUGAGUGGCUGUGCUAAAGUAUUGUCUCCUGGAGCAGCAAAUGCUUGCGCAGGCAGUAAAUUUGCUUCAUUGCUCUCUUUUGAGAAAUUGAUUGAAGGGGACUGCUUGAAGUUGCUCAAUUUGGACAAUGAUGCUGAUGAGGAGAAGUACAGAAAGGCAAUGAAGAGACCUCUUUCACCAGAUGUGCCCAUUGUUCUACCCACUAUAACUAGAAGGCCUAUGUCUCCGCAUUUGGUUGAUGGCAAUGAUAUUCAAUAUGAUAGAGAUUGUUCUGCGUCAAGGUCUGAUGGCAGUUUGUCGGAAGUUCAGAAAUUAUCUCAGAAUGCUAAGUUUCAAUCAUCCUAUAGUAGAACUGAAUACAGUGGCAGUGUUAAGGAGCUGUGUGCAAACAAUAAAUCUAAUACAGCAGAUAAUGAUCCUUACAACACCAAAUUGGUUGAUGUGUCAGUUACAGCCAGAUCGGUCAAUGUUUCACGUGGGAAUGUGGCCUCAAAUUCGUUAGUUUCCAUCGCUGUGGAUUUGGAGAAUACCAUGGGACCACAGUUCUCAGAAAGUAGCUGCAGAGACCAUGCAAAUGCCAGUUUGCAUUCGGCACCUAAUAAAAGCAGGCUAAAUCAAAUGUUUGAUGCAUCAUCAGAUCCUGAACUGCGAAGUAAUGUUGGAACAAGUAAAUCACAAGUAGCUGGGCCAGUCAGUUUGACCUCAAAUAGUGUGAUUGGUCGUUGUCAUGGAGCUGGAAACAACACUAUUGACUUUGUUGGCGUUUCUAGUUUGAAAAGAAGCAGCCUAAUAAAGAUACUUCGCUAUUGGGAUGCCCUGUCUUCUGAAGCUGUUAAACUUUCUGAGGAUAUUUAUGUUGAUGGUCCAUUACUAGAAAGAGUAUCAGCCGAACCAUUGCUGCUUCCAGAAGAGAGGGUUCCCUUCAUUUUUUCCCUUUUGUUGUGGGAUGUUCGUAAAUUAACAACAGAACCUGUUGAUCAAUACCUUGCUUCGUCGGCCUUUUCCAUGACUGGUAUGAUGACGGUGAAACCUUACAUGGAAACGAUAUUGGGCCUCCUAAAAAGCAACCAUCUGGAUGUCCUUGUCUCCUUAAUUGAGGAUUUUCUCGUGAACAAAGAAGUUAUGGUUUGUGAUAAAAUGGGAGUUAGGAAUUCUGUUGCAAUCAAGUAUUGUCACCUAGAUGAUGAAACUGGCAUACAAGUAUCCACUAAGCCUGCGACUGUAAAUCAGUUUAUCUCUGCUUGCAUCCUUUUGGCUUCAAUAUGUGUUAAAGUGGAGAGGCUGGAUGUGGUUUUAGAGGUUUCAUACAGAGUUCUUCAGAUGGGCAAAUUAAACCUUUCCUGGACCAUGUUGGCUCUCCAUGUCUUUGGUUCCGUAUGUGGUGAUAAGUUGCGCUUUCUGAAGAGCUGUAACCUUCUCAUGACAACUGUACGGUUGGUUGUCCUGCUUCUUGAGAGCACAGACACUUCUUCGUGCCUUGUGUCAUCUUAUAUUCAGUCCAAUAGACCAACAGCUUUCCCAUCCUGUACACAAUGUGUGUUUGAUGUGGAUACAGUGUCUAUAGAUGUUUUUAUCUCUUCUCUGCUCGAUGAGCUAGAUUUAUGUGCUCUGUCAUGGAACAAUCAUGCCAAUUCAAAUGAAGCUAUUACAAGGCACAGUUCUCAUUCAGGAUCAAGUGGACUGGAGAUCAAUUGUGGUGAAUCUUGCAAUAUCUCCAAGCAAGCAAAAUUUACUGAGGAUACCAAUUAUCCUGCAGAGAGAGACCUGUGCUAUUUCACUGAGAUAAUAUCUCUGCUUGAGCUGUUUGGGAACUACAUGAGCUGCGAGUGGACAUACAAAAAUGUUGUUGUUCGUCUUCUGAAGAUUUUGGAAUCAUGCACAUGUGAGGAGUAUUCAGCUGCUCUCUUGGUACUUGUCAGCCAGCUUGGAAGGUUUUUCAUUGAUGAUGUUGGUUAUGAGACAGAAGCAGUAGUUGAGCUGAGGAACAAGUUAGCAGUGCUAAUAGGGACGAGUUUUACAAGAUCGAGGAGCAUACCUGUUCAGUUCUCUGCCAUUGGUGCGCUGCUCAGUCUCUUUCCGUUGACAUUUGAUAAAAUAGUUUCUAGCCAGACCGGACCAUUAUCAGGUCCAUGUGUUCUGCAAGCGAGUCAGAUUUCCGAAUGGUUUGGUCAGUUAAGCAAGGAGAAUCAAUCUUUUGCUCGUUCCUUUUUUAGCUGA
rnacentral:rRNA from 1 species